UUAGGAGUAAACCACGGGUUGAUGUGAUGAUUGGUGUGUCAGUUGGCGCAGCAUCGUUGUGCUCGCCGAGACUCCACGCAUGUAGUUGGGCAGCCGGACGUGCAGCAAUCUUUGGGGCGUGUAGAGGCCCGGUCUUGCGGCCGUUGAGAGGCUGCGCAGGUCUUGAGGAGCCAUGCAUGUAACCAGCGGUAGUUUGUUAGUGCAUGCGCGUGUGCAUGCAUAGUUGGUUAGCCAGGCCGUAGGUUAGUGGCCCGUGUGGCAUUCUAGUUAGUUAGUGCGUGGGUGGCCCUGAUGUGUGGCCGUGUGCUAUAUAAGCAGCUAGUAGUCGCCAUGAGGUAGUCGGGGGGAGCCGAGUGUAGCCAUGUAGCCACUGUAAAGAAGAAAAGGAUUGGGGCGUUCGUGUGCCCGUGGCGGCGUUCGUGCGCCGGCCGGAAAAUCUUGUGUGCACCGUUCUUUUUCUUCCACCUCUGUUCGAAUGAGAGGAGAGGUAGCUAGAGGGUUGCGGUUCCAACAUUUGGUAUCAGAGCUGGUUCAUCUUUGGCGUUGUUCUCCUUGCCGGAGGCGGGCCAACGGUGGCGGAGUUCGUCGGCGGCUGCGCGAUGCUCCGGGCCGUGUGUCGGUCUAUGGAGGUGCGCGGCGCGGCGAGGAGGCCGCGGUGGCUGCGGCGGCACGGUGAGGAGGCCGCGGAGGACCUGCGUGGUGGCGGCUUCAACGACACACAGCGGCAUGGCGGCAUGGAGGUGCUGCGUUGCGGUUGAGGCCGCAGCGGUGCAGGGCAAUAAGCCGUGGCGGCGAGCCGGGCGUGACCGGUGCGUGUUAUGGGUGCGCACUGGACGCGUCGGGACCGUGGGCGCGCGUACGAGCGUGCGGUUGACGUUGGGAGGAGGUGUAUGUCGCCGUUGGGCUCGAGUCCGUGCUCGAGUUUGGCUGCAUCCUUCGGCGUUUGUCGCUGGCGGCUGCCAUGGCGGACGCGGAGGCGGCGUGCGGUGAGCGUCUGGUGCGGUCGGGCUCGUCGGGCACGUCGGGUGCGCGCGGGACGUGCGGGAUGCACUGAUACGAUCGGGCUCGUCGGGCGCGUCGGGUGUGGGCGGGACGUGCGGGGCGCAGAGGGACGCCAGGCGUGUGUCGCCAGCGGAGAAGGAGCUCGGUGUUUGUCGCCGGGGUCGUGACGGAUCAUGGUGCGACCGGCGUCAGUGCGCCAGGUCAGGUCCAUGGCAGUGCGACCAGCAUCGGUGCGCCAGGUCAAGUCCGCGGCUGUGACGACAAGGAUGGGAGCUGCAACAACUCCGGCGACGGCGACGACGAACCAAGUCGUGGUUUAGGGGAGUAUGUUAGGAGUAAACCACGGGUUGAUGUGAUGACUGGUGUGUCAGUUGGCGCAGCAUCGUUGUACUCGCCGAGAUUCCACGCAUGUAGUUGGGCAGCCGGACGUGCAGCAAUCUUUGGGGCGUGUAGAGGCCCGAUCAUGCGGCCAUUGAGAGGCUGCGCAGGUCUUGAGGAGCCAUGCAUGUAACCAGCGGUAGUUUGUUAGUGCAUGCGCGUGUGCAUGCAUAGUUGGUUAGCCAGGCCGUG
rnacentral:lncRNA from 1 species